rnacentral:rRNA from 1 species
AUUGAACGCUGGCGGCAUGCUUUACACAUGCAAGUCGAACGGUAACAGGCCGCAAGGUGCUGACGAGUGGCGAACGGGUGAGUAAUGCAUCGGAACGUGCCCAGUCGUGGGGGAUAACUACUCGAAAGAGUAGCUAAUACCGCAUACGAUCUAUGGAUGAAAGCGGGGGACCGUAAGGCCUCGCGCGAUUGGAGCGGCCGAUGUCAGAUUAGGUAGUUGGUGGGGUAAAGGCUCACCAAGCCAACGAUCUGUAGCUGGUCUGAGAGGACGACCAGCCACACUGGGACUGAGACACGGCCCAGAUUCCUACGGGAGGCAGCAGUGGGGAAUUUUGGACAAUGGGCGCAAGCCUGAUCCAGCAAUGCCGCGUGCAGGAAGAAGGCCUUCGGGUUGUAAACUGCUUUUGUACGGAACGAAACGGCUCUGGUUAAUACCCGGGGCUAAUGACGGUACCGUAAGAAUAAGCACCGGCUAACUACGUG